GGAGAAGGGCGAGGUUGAUGCACAACUAGACUCUGUGACUUACUCUACCACACUGGGGUCUCUCUUCAUCUGGGGAGGGGAGUGGGGGUCAGUGAGAGCGUAAGUGAGCUGGACAGCCAAGCUGCUUCUGAUGUGGGUGUAUUCUUGUCAUCUCUUUGCUCGGGGCCUACCUAUCUGCAAGAACCAUUUCCCUGGCCACAAGGCAUGGUAUUCAUGUCCAUAUGUCCUCAGACAGGCAAGAUGUGAAGAGCAAGACGUCGAAGUGGAGAAAAACAAGGCUUUAAUUUUUAUCCUCGUUUCGUCACGAUGAGAGAAGUCUCUCCGAUCCUUUCAAGUCGCAGCCAGCAGCAAUUACUUGUCCUGCUUCUUGUGGGAAGCUGUGGGCUACAGAGACAGGAAAGUCGGGGGCUCCAAUCAAAGCCAAAGCACCAGAAUGAAAGCGUUCAUCAAAAGACUGAACGUGGCUUUGAAAGAUAAAAGAGACCGAGUCCAACAGACCGCAGCCUGAAAUGAAAGACGGGAGGAGAAUGAACAGAGAGGAGCUCCUAUUGCUGAGUCCUGCAGAGAGCGUGAGGCUGCCUGUGUGCUCCCCCUCAGCCUGGGGAGCUGUCCAGCUUCAGUGGGAAACACAGGCGCUGCUCCCUGGGCAGUGUUUCCAUGUUGGAUUCACCAGCACUGUUUGCUGACUGCUACUGCAGGAAAAUGACCAUCUACAGACAAGCAAAAUUCCAGAACUUGAGAGGCAGAGGCAGGAGAAUGCCUGAAUUCAAGGCCACCCUAAUCUAUAUAACAAGUUCCAAGCCAGCCAGGGCUUCACAGUGAUGCCUUUUCUCCAUAGACAGAUGGACGGACAGACAGAUGGAUGGGCAGACAGUUGAAGAGCUUUGAAAUAUAAAUCAAGACUGAGAUGUCUGCAAAACCGCACAAGACUAAUGCUGCCUCUAGGAACCCAACAGGACAAUCCCCACUCACCCCAUUGAAUGCAAAAAUAAAGACCCUUGAGACUGUGGGCCCCCCCAGGGUACAGGAAAGAAGGGGGCGGGUCUCCACUCCUGCCUUAAGCUUUUCUUUGCCUGUUAAGUUUCUCUUUAUCAGUUAUUACUAGAUCAAAAAUGGGGUUAGGGGUUCACCCUGAGUAGGAGCAGACCCCAACCAACUAGCAGCUGUUUCCAAACUCAAAGACAGGAGCAGCAACUCAAUUCUUAUACCACAAGGCACGUGAACAUGUCAGAUCCAAUAGGAAAGCAAGGGGAAUCCCCAAGAGGGGGAGACCUGGACCCAAAUACUCCUCCCUCCUUAGAUGCAGAGACUUUCCAGCUCUGGGCUGAUCUCUGCCUGAGAAGUCUAUAUCACUUCCAAUAGACUUGCUCUCAGUGCCAAGACCUUUACUAUCAUUCUUCAACUGAAGGAGCGGGCUGGAAUCACUCUGUCAUAAUAAAUAAAUGAGACAAAGAGGACUCUGACCAACCAAGGGCGUGAAAGCCUGUGCUACUUUUUCUCAACGUGACUUUUCUUACCUAGAACCUUACACUAACUAGGCAAUAAGAAACACAGCCGUGUGGAACUCUCAACAUGCAGAGACGACAGACCCAGCUAAAGCCUGUUCUUUGCUGUCCGAAGCCAUGGUGAGGAGUCAGCCACAAGGAAGAAGUUUGAGGCCUCGUUCUAUCUUGUACCUGCCUUCACCUGCAUAAUGACAUCAUUCCACAGCAAGCCAGGGGGAGCAAUCCAGGAAGCAGCGUCCCUCCAUGGCCUCUGCAUCAGCUCCUGCCUCCAAGUUCCUGUCCUGCAUGAGUUCCUGUCCUGACUUCCUUUGGUGAUGAACAGCAAUGUGGAAGUGUAAGCCGAAUAAACCCUUUCCUCCCCAA